UGGAUAGAUGGGCAAACCUGUUGAAAAGCAGGGACGCAAAGCCAAGGGUCUUCAUCAUGAUGAUAUGACAGCCGGUUGCACCG
rnacentral:ncRNA from 1 species